AACGAACGCUGGCGGCAUGCCUAACACAUGCAAGUCGAACGAGACCUUCGGGUCUAGUGGCGCACGGGUGCGUAACGCGUGGGAACCUGCCUUUAGGUUCGGAAUAACUCAGAGAAAUUUGAGCUAAUACCGGAUGAUGUCUUCGGACCAAAGAUUUAUCGCCUUUAGAUGGGCCCGCGUUGGAUUAGCUAGUUGGUGGGGUAAAGGCCUACCAAGGCGACGAUCCAUAGCUGGUCUGAGAGGAUGAUCAGCCACACUGGGACUGAGACACGGCCCAGACUCCUACGGGAGGCAGCAGUGGGGAAUAUUGGACAAUGGGCGAAAGCCUGAUCCAGCAAUGCCGCGUGAGUGAUGAAGGCCUUAGGGUUGUAAAGCUCUUUUACCCGAGAUGAUAAUGACAGUAUCGUGAGAAUAAGCUCCGGCUAACUCCGUG
rnacentral:rRNA from 1 species